AGGUGUGUGCUGCAUUGCCACGCAGAUGGACAUCCCUGCCUCCAGGAUGGGAAGAGCUCCUUGCAAGCAACAUUUAUGUGACCAGCUGUAUUUCAACAAUAAAUGGGUGCAGCUCUUUCAGUGUGCGAUCCAGGUUUGGUGUCCCAGGAACAGCUGCAGAAAUCCUGCCUUGUAUGGGGAGCAUGGCUGGCUGAUCUGCUGAAUUGCUGCUGUGAUUGAUAUAAGGAACCUCCAUCAGUGGCCGACCACGUAAUGAAGCUGCCACAUCUCUAUGGGCUGUGGCCAGUAUUGCUCCUGGAGUGGACCAGAGCUGCUUCUUAGAUGUUAUUCCUGUUUUCAGCAUCCAGGAGAGGACAGUGCUGGAAUGAAGCUUGUUUUGCCAGGGGAGGUGCAGAAUGAAUAUUAGGAAACAUUUCUUCUCAGAAGGAGCGGUGCUGCAGUGUUCACAGACUGCCCAGGGAGUGGUGGGGUCACCAUCCUUGGAGGUGUCCAAGAACCAUGGAGAUGUGGCACUGAGACAGAUGUAACUGAGAAAACAACAGUGACACUCCAGCAUCCCCUGUGCUCUGGUGCCCACGACCUGCAGUCAGCAUUGUAGGGUCCUGGGGAGGGCUCUGGGUGAGAACCCCUAUGUGCCUUCCGCAUGGAUGCCAAAGGACAGGAUGCCACCCAAUGGCCAGAGAUGACCCAGGUGGAAAACCUCGGUCCUAAGGCACAUUCCUGUGGUGUGAGUGUCCCAGGUACGCUGGGAGCUUUCUCCCUGUGAGCCCACACAUCCCACAGCCUCUUCUGUUCUCCUCUCAGAAUGUGGUUUUUCAGGUCUUCAGUGCUAGUUUUGGUUGCUGGACCACAGACUAAGCUUUACCUCUGGUUUCUGGAAUCAGCCUUUCACCCAGUAAGUAAGAAGAAUGACCCACAAAUGGACCGCCGUGUUUUGUUCUGCUCUGUAAGUAUGAGUUCACUCUAUUUUACACUCAGCAGUAGAAUUUCAGGUUCCAUCUGCAGAGCUGCACACUGCCACUCCUCACUCUCAUCUGACAUGGAUCUGUGCAAUGUAGGACAUCGCCGGAGCAGCGCAGGGUAAUCCCAUGGGUACACAUCCCCAGCCUCUGGGCACAUCCCCUGGAAACACAGCACCACACAAGGACUCGUGCAUCAUGCUUUAUCUGCAGCAGCUCGAACUCAUUGUCAGACUGGAAAGGGAAACUGGACAAAUGCAUGGAAAGGAAGAAGUCGCUGCCCCCCAGGGAGCUGAUAGAAGUGGGGUGGGGGGCCUGGCCUCUGUCUGAAAUGGGAGAUGGCACCACAUGAGCUGCUGCUCUGAAGCAGUGCAUUGUUUCCUAUAUUCCUAGUGUUUUGUGAGUGUGUGUUUGUGUUACAGCACAC
rnacentral:lncRNA from 1 species